ACCCCGGCGAGGGGAGUGAAAAAGAACCUGAAACCGUGUACGUACAAGCAGUGGGAGCACAGAGCAAUCUGUGUGACUGCGUACCUUUUGUAUAAUGGGUCAGCGACUUAUAUUCUGUAGCAAGGUUAACCGAAUAGGGGAGCCGAAGGGAAACCGAGUCUUAACUGGGCGUUAAGUUGCAGGGUAUAGACCCGAAACCCGGUGAUCUAGCCAUGGGCAGGUUGAAGGUUGGGUAACACUAACUGGAGGACCGAACCGACUAAUGUUGAAAAAUUAGCGGAUGACUUGUGGCUGGGGGUGAAAGGCCAAUCAAACCGGGAGAUAGCUGGUUCUCCCCGAAAGCUAUUUAGGUAGCGCCUCGUGAAUUCAUCUCCGGGGGUAGAGCACUGUUUCGGCAAGGGGGUCAUCCCGACUUACCAACCCGAUGCAAACUGCGAAUACCGGAGAAUGUUAUCACGGGAGACACACGGCGGGUGCUAACGUCCGUCGUGAAGAGGGAAACAACCCAGACCGCCAGCUAAGGUCCCAAAGUCAUGGUUAAGUGGGAAACGAUGUGGGAAGGCCCAGACAGCCAGGAUGUUGGCUUAGAAGCAGCCAUCAUUUAAAGAAAGCGUAAUAGCUCACUGGUCGAGUCGGCCUGCGCGGAAGAUGUAACGGGGCUAAACCAUGCACCGAAGCUGCGGCAGCGACGCUUAUGCGUUGUUGGGUAGGGGAGCGUUCUGUAAGCCUGCGAAGGUGUGCUGUGAGGCAUGCUGGAGGUAUCAGAAGUGCGAAUGCUGACAUAAGUAACGAUAAAGCGGGUGAAAAGCCCGCUCGCCGGAAGACCAAGGGUUCCUGUCCAACGUUAAUCGGGGCAGGGUGAGUCGACCCCUAAGGCGAGGCCGAAAGGCGUAGUCGAUGGGAAACAGGUUAAUAUUCCUGUACUUGGUGUUACUGCGAAGGGGGGACGGAGAAGGCUAUGUUGGCCGGGCGACGGUUGUCCCGGUUUAAGCGUGUAGGCUGGUUUUCCAGGCAAAUCCGGAAAAUCAAGGCUGAGGCGUGAUGACGAGGCACUACGGUGCUGAAGCAACAAAUGCCCUGCUUCCAGGAAAAGCCUCUAAGCAUCAGGUAACAUCAAAUCGUACCCCAAACCGACACAGGUGGUCAGGUAGAGAAUACCAAGGCGCUUGAGAGAACUCGGGUGAAGGAACUAGGCAAAAUGGUGCCGUAACUUCGGGAGAAGGCACGCUGAUAUGUAGGUGAAGCGACUUGCUCGUGGAGCUGAAAUCAGUCGAAGAUACCAGCUGGCUGCAACUGUUUAUUAAAAACACAGCAC
rnacentral:rRNA from 1 species